UAACUUGACUUUGUAGGAAAAAUUACCUCAACUAAUGGAUCGAACUGUAGCAUAUGUGAACUCUGACAUCUGUGUUUCAGGCACCAGCUUUAAAGUAGCAGCCUCUCCUCUUCUUGCUUCUGUGGUUCAAGAAAUGACAAGUUAUGUA